rnacentral:lncRNA from 1 species
UUUAUUUAUUUAUUCAUGAUAGACACAGAGAGAGAGAGGCAGAGACACAGGAGGAGGGAGAAGCAGGCUCCAUGCCGGGAGCCUGACGUGGGUGGGACUCGAUCCCGGGACUCCAGGAUCGCGCCCUAGGCCAAAGGCAGGCACUAAACCGCUGAGCCACCCAGGGAUCCCCGAGAUGGCUGAUUCUAAACUGCCCCAGAGCCUGCAGCCUCCCACCGUAGACACUCUCGCAGAGGGGGAUCUGCGAGCGGCCUCAGCUUCCCUCUCCCCACCAGCCUUUCGAGCCACGGGCUGGAACUCAGGGCCUCCUUCAUUACAGACCGAGCAAGGCUGAGGGUAAAGGAACAAGGCAUUGGGGGCUGGCCCCAGCCCUAGGUAGACACAGAGAAGUGGUCCCCGCUCCCUCAUUCCUGGCCCCGCAACACAGAAACCAGGGAGGAGGGCUCAUCUGCCCAUCACAUGGGCCACAGUGGCCCAAAGCAGCUCAGGGCAGAACUUCAGGAACAUUUGUCCUUCCAGGUCCAGACAAAGGAUGGCAGACAGAUUCCAUCUCCGGGUCAGGUCUUUGCAAUUGCUGAUCUGCCCCCGCUAUGGGUGGUGGGGGGGGAGUGUUGGGGUGUUGAAGGUCACCUCCAGGCUUCGAGGAACCAGCUACCUCCAACUGAUUGACUGAGGCAGCUGUAGGCACCAGAUAGGAGCCUGACCACAUGUGUGUCGUUUGUCAUACUGGCCCGGCCGGGAUCACUGGUAUCCUGCCCAUGGUGUCCCCCAAUGCGGUUCCUCCAUGAAAGUGGGAAUGUGAGCCACUCCGUCUGGACCACCCGUCUCUUCACGGUAGCCCUUUUGGUUUUCAAGAACCUGAGCCCUUCAUGUUUGCAGAUCUCUCCCUGACAUUUCUUUCCACCCCGAAGAAGUGAGCAGCUCACAGCUGGGCGCAGGCGAGUGCAGGGACCCAGGGCCCUGCUGCCAGACUUGGCGUCAGCAAACCAAGCCAAUGCCUCCAGAAAUGAUUCCAAGGCCCCAGUCCUUCCUCAGUCCUUCAUGGACGCAUGCAACCCCCACAUCAGCGUGUCUUCUGUGAGUGGAAGACUUUUAAUCCCACCCCAUCAUGAGCCCAUCUUCCCUCCUAUCUCGUGCUGGUUACUGGGAUGGGGCUGGGAGCAGAUAGGGGAAGGCUGGGGAGGGAAAUGCAGAGCUGGAUAACGGGGUAGGAGGCUGCAAGGACUUUGCCUAUGUUAAGGGUUUAGCUGUGUCCCCCCCAAACCCAGUCCCAGGGUACGCUGAAGCCCUAACAACCUGUGCCUGUGAAUGUCACCUCCUUUGAGAAGAGGGUCUUGGCAGAUGUGAUCAAGUUGGGAUGAGGUCAUCAGGGUGGGCCCUACUCCAGUUUGCCUGGGCUCCUUACAGGAGGAGGGAGCAGCGACCUGGGACGAAGGGACGUUGGUCAGAGCCUGCAGAGUUGCUGCCACCAGCUCAGGACCCCCAGGGCCUCUGGCGCUGGAAGAGGCAGCAGAGGAGCCUCCCCUAGAGCCUUGGGAGAGAGCACAGCCCUGCCUGUCACACCUGAUGUGGGACUCUAAACUCCAGAUGGGGGGAGGCUAGAGCUGUGCCCGCCCUGGCCUGUGGUGCUCUGUGCGGUGGCCUGUUUGUCUCAUUCCUAAAAACGGAGUCAUCAUUACAAUAAAUACCAUGAACCACUACUAUCAUACAUGGGAGGGACGGGGGUCGUAGCCCCAGCAUGGACUGUGGCCCAGGAAGAGACCGUGCACAGAGGGUCCGCAGCAGGGGCGAGCCGCGCCUGCAGGGCCUGCGUGGUCCAGCCGGUGGACAGGGCUGGGGGCCCCCGCGGCCCGUGGGGGACAGGGGGGACAGGGGGCUGGCGGUGGGAAGGACGAGCUGGGCGGCCAGGGAAAUGCAAGCAGCCAUGAGGGGGAAGAGAAGAGGGCACCAGGCCCGUAAAUCGGCAGAUGCAAGAGUUUAGGAAAAGCAGGGAAGUCGGAGCAAAGGCGGUGAAAUGCAGGCUCCAGCUCGCGUUCCCAGGAGGUAAGGCAGGAAGCAAAGGCUGGCACCCACUGCAAGGGCCGCGGCGGGGGGCACCCGAGGGAAACCCCGGGGUCCUCCGUGGCCUCCGGGAGGGACGGUGGGAACCACCUGUCAGCAGUGUGGUGUCGCCUUGGGAGAAGUUGCGGGAACUGAUUCUUUGAUGGGAAUCACCUCCUUUGUUAGGAUCGCCCAGAAGGGCAGCUGCGGCAGUGGUGCCUUCGUAGAUCAAAGGGUCUGUAUCCCCAAGUGACAGUACCAGUGCUUUAGGAAUCCUUUGUCACCUCGGAGACUCAGCAGCAGAGCCGUGGUUCUCAGAACCUGGGCUGGGCUGAGCUGCCAGCCCCGGGGCUACGGGAGGAAGCUCAAAGGGGAGCUUGGCCGGCGGCUGACACUCGGGCAGCGCCCCAGGAGGGGUCAUGUGGCGACAGGAGCCGGGCCGGGCUGGGAACAGAGGAGACGGGCCGAGUCUCAGGGUUUGUGUCCCAGUUUGACAAAACGCAAGCAGCAGACAAAGCUC